rfam:Bacteroidales bacterium 52_46 Ley3_66761_scaffold_263, whole genome shotgun sequence.
UUGUGUCGGGUAAGUCCUAUACGGCAUGCUCCCCCUGAACUCCGCCAGGUCUUGAUCGAAGCAACGGUAGGGUGGUUGUAGCGGCGCGAUGUAGAUAGCUUGCCCAUUU